rnacentral:rRNA from 1 species
CCUACGGGAGGCAGCAGUGAGGAAUAUUGGUCAAUGGGCGUAAGCCUGAACCAGCCAAGUCGCGUGAGGGAUGAAGGUUCUAUGGAUCGUAAACCUCUUUUAUAAGGGAAUAAAGUGUGGGACGUGUCCUGUUUUGUAUGUACCUUAUGAAUAAGGAUCGGCUAACUCCGUGCCAGCAGCCGCGGUAAUACGGAGGAUCCGAGCGUUAUCCGGAUUUAUUGGGUUUAAAGGGUGCGUAGGCGGCCUUUUAAGUCAGCGGUGAAAGUCUGUGGCGCAACCAUAGAAUUGCCGUUGAAACUGGGAGGCUUGAGGAUGUUUGAGGCAGGCGGAAUGCGUGGUGUAGCGGUGAAAUGCUUAGAUAUCACGCAGAACCCCGAUUGCGAAGGCAGCCUGCCAAGCCAUGACUGACGCUGAUGCACGAAAGCGUGGGGAUCAAACAGGAUUAGAUACCCCAGUAGUC